GCGAUCUUAGUUUAAUGAAGAAUGCCGAUUUGUCUUGUUGGUGGUGACUUUGUUGGUUAGAUUGUU
rnacentral:tRNA from 1 species